rnacentral:lncRNA from 1 species
UGCAAAUAGAAUUGGGAGAGAACUCUUGUUGAGUUCAUCAUGGGUUAGAGAUGUAUGUUUUCUAUGAACAAGCGGAGCAUGGAGUGUAUAAUACUUUUUCUUCCUCUAAAUGGGAUCUAUGGAAGUUCUAGACUAGUUGAGUGCGUCGAUGUCUGCGGCGCAGAAGGGAGAUGAAAGUUCUCGUGUUAUCUUUGGAGGAUCUGGUAUAUGCGGUAUGUUGUAAAG